GUAAAAUCAACUAAGAGUGUAUGCUGCUGCUUGCUUGCUCUGUGACCUUGGCACACCACCUUCCCUCAGUUUCUUCUUUUGAAAAGUUUAAAGAGUUGAGUCAGAAGGUUUGUAAGAUCCAUUCUGACCCUGAGUCCAUCAUUUAUGACCUGUGAAUCCUUAUUUAUUCUAUUUUGUGGUCUACUGCAGCGCUGAACCACGUGAUCAGUGAUGCCACCUUGGAAAGGUUUCGAGUGCUAUUGGUGCAGCAGCUUUUGGACAGAGUAAAGAGGGGAUUAUGGUAACAAAAUACAACAUGAAGAAAAUGCAAGACCUUCUUUAAGGAACUGAAAACUCCUUAUUUUGUGGUGCUGUCUGGCCUGUUCCGACUCAUAGCAACUCGUAGUACAAUAGAGCGAAGCACUGCCUGGUCCUGUGCCAUCAUCACAACCGUUGCUGUGUUCGAGCCCAUUGUUGCAGCCACUGUGCCAAUCCAUCUCGUCAAGGGUCUUCCUCUUUUUCAUUCGACUAUAGUAAGUUUCGUUUCUGGAAUAUAGGAGGCGGAAUUCUCAGGGCCAUGCUGGUGCAGCUUAUUUUGGAAGUAAGAGUCAAAAAAAAAAAAUUUUUUUUUUCCUUACAGGGUCAGUGGGGGUGUUGCUGAGGAGGAAAGGGAGGUGCCCACGAGUGUAAUGUCAAGCAACGGUUCCCUUAACAACGCCUGCAGAUGGAUGCAUUUCCGUGCAGCCUGGUUCUCUGUUCCUUUUCUGUUGCUGAAGAGGAACAAUGAGGGAGUGAGGGAUCCGCAGUGAUGUUUAUCUUUCCAGCUCUGGACUUUCAAAAUGCUGGAAUCCCCCGGGGUUGGAGAAGGGUGGGUGUAGUCAUUUCCCACCAUUGCCCUAGGGUGGGAGAUGCAGCAACUCUGCUGGGGGUGGGGUGGGGGCUUAAUUUCCUCCCAAAUCGGAAAUUUAUCUCCUGAAUGGGAGGCUGCAGAGAGUCAUCAAGGACUUAUCUCCUGAAGCAGACGACCAGAAAGGAGCCCUGCCCAGUCCUUCACCCCAAAGAGGACUUGUUUGCCAGAGGAGGGAGAGAGAGAGAGAGAGUCAGGAGCCGAGGACCAGCGAGAAGGAGAGCUGCCACUACGGUUUGUGUGUCAAUGAAGAAUUCUUCCUGCUGGGCUCUUCCCACACUGGCCCUCACAGGAUGCUGGCAGCCCCUCCCAGGACACGGUGCAGUUGGAACUGGGAGAGCCCAGGUCACGUCUAUAAUUGAGAACAAAGGGGAAUUUUGGUCCUUUCCUCGGAAUGAGUCCAAAACUCUGGGACGAACAUCUUAGCUCAUAUAAAUUAUGCUCUGGGGCUUCCAAAAGCUCAACAAAUAGCCCAAUCUGGAGUUGAGUUCUUACCACACACAGGACAUCACAACAGGAAGGAAGUCCCGCCCCUUUUUCACAGAUGAGGAGACUGAGGGCCAGAGAUGCCAAAUAUAUAUGAAAUCAAGCUUAUUCAUGUAUUAUUUUAAAUUUCUAAGUCCUUAUUUUUAAAAAUCUAUUUGAUUUGACAUAAAGGAAUGCAAUUCUCCCUCACCUACUCUCUUCCUCUUCAUGUAUGCCAUAUUGCUAACAGUUGUGCGGUAUUAAAUCUAAAGGAAGUGUUUUAUUACAUCAAGCUUAUUAAUAUAUCUUGUUAAUCGGUCAGUUUGUCGUACUGUGUUGGCUUGAGUGUUGCUAUGAUGCUCUAGAAGCUAUGUCACUGGCAUUGCAGCAAUCAGCAGGGUCACCCAUAGUGGACAGGUUUCAAUGGUGCUUCCAGACUAAGACAAAGAAGAAAGGCCUGGAAAUCUACUUCUGAAAAUUAGUCAAUGAAAACUCUGUGGGUCACAAUAGAAUAGUGUCUGAUAUAGCACUGGAAGAUGAGCCCCCUAAGUUGGAAGGUACUCAAAAUACACAGUGUCUGCAACAGUGGACUCAAAUCAUGAAGAUGGCGUAGGACCAGGCACCGUUUUGUUGUUGUUCCUGGUAUCGCCAUGAUCCAGAGCUGGCUUGACAGCCACGAACAACAACCAGGAAGUGUAUUAAUAUGUUAAACACUGGAAGAGCCAUGCCAG